rnacentral:rRNA from 1 species
CCAAAUUGAUUGAUGGGGGCUUGCCCCCGGAUUGACGAUGGAUUCACCCAGUGAGUGGCGGACGGGGUGAGUAACCCGGUAGUUAACCUGCCCCGGAGCGGGGGGAUAACAUUUGGAAACAGAUGCUAAUACCGCAUAACAACAAAAGCCACAUGGCUUUUGUUUGAAAGAUGGCUUGGGCUAUCACUCUGGGAUGGACCUGCGGUGCAUUAGCUAGUUGGUAAGGUAACGGCUUACCAAGGCGAUGAUGCAUAGCCGAGUUGAGAGACUGAUCGGCCACAAUGGAACUGAGACACGGUCCAUACUCCUACGGGAGGCAGCAGUAGGGAAUCUUCCACAAUGGGCGCAAGCCUGAUGGAGCAACACCGCGUGAGUGAAGAAGGGUUUCGGCUCGUAAAGCUCUGUUGUUGGAGAAGAACGUGCGUGAGAGUAACUGUUCACGCAGUGACGGUAUCCAACCAGAAAGUCACGGCUAACUACGUGCCAGCAGCCGCGGUAAUACGUAGGUGGCAAGCGUUAUCCGGAUUUAUUGGGCGUAAAGCGAGCGCAGGCGGUUGCUUAGGUCUGAUGUGAAAGCCUUCGGCUUAACCGAAGAAGUGCAUCGGAAACCGGGCAACUUGAGUGCAGAAGAGGACAGUGGAACUCCAUGUGUAGCGGUGGAAUGCGUAGAUAUAUGGAAGAACACCAGUGGCGAAGGCGGCUGUCUGGUCUGCAACUGACGCUGAGGCUCGAAAGCAUGGGUAGCGAACAGGAUUAGAUACCCUGGUAGUCCACGCCGUAAACGAUGAGUGCUAAGUGUUGGAGGGCUUCCACCCUUCAGUGCUGCAGUUAACGCAU